rnacentral:lncRNA from 1 species
AUUAAACUUGAGAUUUGGGUGUUGGUUGAACUUGAGUUUGUGUCGUGUUUGAACUUGAGUUUGUUGUGUUUUUGAACUUGAGUUUGUGUGUUUCUUGAACUUAAGUUUGUUGAACUUGAGUUUGUGGCAAUUGUUGAACUUGCGUCUGUGGUUUUUAGUGAACUUUAGUUUGUGGCAAUUGUUGAACUUGAGUUUGUGGCGUUUGUUGAACUUGAGUUUGUGUCGUGUUUUAACUUGAGUUUGUGGUGCUUUUGAACUUGAAUUUGUGGUGUUUUUGAACUUGAGGGUGUGAAAUUUGUUAAACUUAAUAAUUGGGUAUUGGUUGAACUUGAGUUUCUGUGUUUGUUGAACUUGAGUUUGUGUUGUCUUUGAACUUGAGUUUGUGUGUUGGUUGAACUUGAGUUUGUGUCGUGUUUGAACUUGAGCUUGUUUUGUUUGUUGAACUUGAGUUUGUGUGUUGGUUGAACUUGAGUUUGUGUGUUUGUUGAACUUGAGUUUGUGUUGUGUUUGAACUUGAGUUUGUGGUGUUUUUGAACUUGAGUUUGUUUCGUGUUUGAACUCGAGUUUUUGGCGUUUGUUGAACUUGAGUUUGUGUGUUUGUUGAACUUGAGGUUAUGGCAAUUGUUAAACUUGAGAUUUUGGUGUUGGUUGAACUUGAGUUUGUGUCGUGUUUGAACUGAGUUUGUUUUGUUUUUGAACUUGAGUUUGUUUCGUGUUUGAACUCGAGUUUUUGGCGUUUGUUGAACUUGAGUUUGUGUGUUUGUUGAACUUGAGGUUAUGGCAAUUAUUAAACUUGAGAUUUGGGUGUUGGUUGAACUUGAGUUUGUGUGUUUGUUGAACUUGAGUUUGUGUUGUGUUUGAACUUGAGUUUGUGGUGUUUUUGAACUUGAGUUUGUUUCGUGUUUGAACUCGAGUUUUUGGCGUUUGUUGAACUUGAGUUUGUGUGUUUGUUGAACUUGAGGUUAUGGCAAUUAUUAAACUUGAGAUUUGGGUGUUGGUUGAACUUGAGUUUGUGUCGUGUUUGAACUUGAGUUUGUGGUGUUUGUUGAACUUGAGUCUGUGGUUUUAAGUGAACUUUACUUGAUGGCAAUUGUUGAACUUGAGUUUGUGGGGUUUGUUGAAUUUGAGUUUGUGUCAUGUUUGAACUUGAGUUUCUGGUGUGUUUGAACUUGAGUCUGUGUUGUUUUUGAAUUUGAGGUUGUGGAAAUUGUUAAACUUGAGAAUUGGGCGUUGGUUGAACUUGAGUUUGUGUUGUGUUUGAACUUGAGUUUGUGUCGUGUUUGAACUUGAGUUUGUGGUGUUUUUGAACUUGAGUUUGUGGUGUUUUUGAACUUGUGUUUUUGAACUUGAGUUUUGUGUCGUGUUUUUGAACUUGAGUUUAUGUGUUGGUUUGAGUUUGUGUCGUGUUUGAACUUGAGUUUGUGUUGUUUGUUGAACUUGAGUUUUUUUUGUUGAACUUGAGUUUGUGGCAAUUGUUGAACUUGCGUCUGUGGUUUUUUGUGAUUUUUAAUUUGUGUCAAUUGUUGAACUUGAGUUUGUGUUGUUUUUGAACUUGAGCUUGUUUCGUGUUUGAACUUGAGUUUGUGGAUAUUAUUAAACUUGAGAUUUGGGUGUUGGUUGAACUUGAGAUUUGGGUGUUGGUUGAAGUUGAGGUUGUUGUGUUUUUGAACUUGAGUUUGUGUGUUUUUUGAACUUAAGUUUGUUGAACUUGAGUUUGUGGCAAUUGUUGAACUUGAGUCUGUGUUUUUUAGUGAACUUUACUUGAUGGCAAUUGUUGAAAUUGAGUUUGUGGGGUUUGUUGAACUUGAGUUUGUGUUGUUUUUGAAGUUGAGGUUGUGGAAAUUGUUAAACUUGAGAAUUGGGCGUUGGUUGAACUUGAGUUUGUGUUGUGUUUGAACUUGAGUUUGUUGUGUGUUUGAACUUGAGUUUGUUUGUUUGAUGAACUUUAGGUUGUGGCAAUUGUUAAACUUGAGAUUUGGGUGUUGGUUAAAUUUGAGUUUUUGUUGUGUUUGAACUUGAGUUCGUGUGUUUUUUGAAAUUAGGGUUGUGAAAAUUAGUGAACUUUAAUUUGUGGCAAUUGUGGAACUUGAGUUUGUGGCGUUUGUUGAACUUGAGUUUGUGUCGUGUUUGAACUUGAGUUUGUGGUGUUUUUGAACUUGAGUUUGUAGUGUGUUUGAACUUGAGUUUUAUGUGUUGGUUGAACUUGAGUUUGUGUCGUGUUUGAACUUGAGUUUGUGUGUUUUUUGAACUUAAGUUUGUUGAACUUUAGUUUGUGGCAAUUUUUGAACUUGAGUUUGUGUCAUGUUUGAACUUGAGGGUGUGGAAUUUUUUAAACUUAAUAAUUGGGUAUUGGUUGAACUUGAGUUUCUGUGUUUGUUGAACUUGAGUUUGUGUCGUGUUUGAAAUUGAGUUUGUGUUUUUUUGAACUUGGGUUUGUGUUGUGUUUGAACUUGAGUUUGUGGUGUUUUUGAACUUGAGUUUGUUUCGAGUUUGAACUUGAGUUUGUGGCGUUUGUUGAACUUGAGUUUGUGUGUUUGUUGAACUUGAGGUUGUGGCAAUUGUUAAACUUGAGAUUUGGGUGUUGGUUGAACUUGAGUUUGUGUCGUGUUUGAACUUGAGUUUGUUGUAUUUUUGAACUUGAAUUUGCGUGUUUGGUGAACUUGAGUUUGUGUGUUUGUUGAACCUGAGUUUGUGUUGUGUUUGAACUUGAGUUUGUGGUGUUUGUUGAACUUGAGUUUGUGGUGUUUUUGAACUUAAGUUUGUAGUGUGUUUGAACUUGAGUUUUAUGUGUUGGUUGAACUUGAGUUUGUGUCGUGUUUGAACUUGAGUUUGUGUGUUUUUUGAACUUAAGUUUGUUGAACUUUAGUUUGUGGCAAUUGUUGAACUUGAGUUUGUGUCAUGUUUGAACUUGAGGGUGUGGAAUUUUUUAAACUUAAUAAUUUGGUAUUGGUUACACUUGAGUUUCUGUGUUUGUUGAACUUGAGUUUGUGUCGUGUUUGAAAUUGAGUUUGUGUUUUUGUUGAACUUGAGUUUGUGUUGUGUUUGAACUUGAGUUUGUGGUGUUUUUGAACUUGAGUUUGUUUCGUGUUUGUACUUGAGUUUGUGGCGUUUGUUGAACUUGAGUUUGUGUCGUGUUUGAAAUUGAGUUUGUGUUUUUGUUGAACCUGAGUUUGUGUUGUGUUUGAACUUGAGUUUGUGGUGUUUGUUGAACUUGAGUUUGUGUUGUGUUUGAACUUGAGUUUGUGGUGUUUGUUGAACUUGAGUUUGUGGUGUUUUUGAACUUGAGUUUGUGGUGUUUUUGAACUUGAGUUUGUGUCGUGUUUGAACUUGAGUUUGUGUCGUGUUUGAAAUUGAGUUUGUGUGUUUGUUGAACUUGAGUUUGUGUUGUGUUUGAACUUGAGUUUGUGGUGUUUUUGACCUUGAGUAUUUUUCGUGUUUGAACUUGAGGUUGUGACAAUUGUUAAACUUAAGAUUUGGGUGGUGGUUGAACUUGAGUUUGUUGUGUUUUUGAACUUGAGUUUGUGUGUUUUUUGAACUUAAUUUUUUUGAACUUGAGUUUGUGGCAAUUGUUGAACUUGCGUCUGUGGUUUUUAGUGAACUUUAAUUUGUGGCAAUUGUUGAACUUGAGUUUGUGGCGUUUGUUGAACUUGAGUUUGUGUCGUGUUUGAACUUGAGUUUGUGGUGUUUUUGAACUUGAGUUUGUAGUGUGUUUGAACUUGAGUUUUAUGUGUUGGUUGAACUUGAGUUUGUGUCGUGUUUGAACUUGAGUUUGUGUGUUUUUUGAACUUAAGUUUGUUGAACUUUAGUCUGUGGCAAUUGUUGAACUUGAGUUUGUGUCAUGUUUGAACUUGAGGGUGUGGAAUUUUUUAAACUUAAUAAUUUGGUAUUGGUU